rnacentral:rRNA from 1 species
AUGAGCUUUUGGGGAGCAACAGUAAUUACAAGCUUAGCUAGCGCCAUACCAGUAGUAGGAGAUACCAUAGUGACUUGGCUUUGGGGUGGUUUCUCCGUGGACAAUGCCACCUUAAAUCGUUUUUUUAGUCUCCAUCAUUUACUCGCCCUUGUUCUU